GGGUCCUUAGCUCAGCUGGUUAGAGCACUCGGCUCAUAACCGAGUGGUCCGGGGUUCGAGUCCCCGAGGACCCACCA
rnacentral:tRNA from 1 species